rnacentral:rRNA from 1 species
GAUGAACGCUGGCGGCGUGCUUAACACAUGCAAGUCGAACGAAGCACUUUAUUUGAUUUCCUUCGGGAUUGAUUAUUUUGUGACUGAGUGGCGGACGGGUGAGUAACGCGUGGGUAACCUGCCUUGUACAGGGGGAUAACAGUUGGAAACGGCUGCUAAUACCGCAUAAGCGCACGGCAUCGCAUGAUGCAGUGUGAAAAACUCCGGUGGUAUAAGAUGGACCCGCGUUGGAUUAGCUAGUUGGUGAGGUAACGGCCCACCAAGGCGACGAUCCAUAGCCGACCUGAGAGGGUGACCGGCCACAUUGGGACUGAGACACGGCCCAAACUCCUACGGGAGGCAGCAGUGGGGAAUAUUGCACAAUGGGCGAAAGCCUGAUGCAGCGACGCCGCGUGAGCGAAGAAGCAUUUCGGUAUGUAAAGCUCUAUCAGCAGGGAAGAUAAUGACGGU